ensembl:lncRNA
CUUUCCUGGAGAAUCCCAUGGACAAAGGAGCCUGGCAGACUACAGUCCAUAGGGUCACAAUGAGUUGGAUAUCACUGAAGUGACUUAGCACACACUCACAAAGAAGGGACCACCAGGAGACCUGGGGUCACCCAUGGUUGCAACCAUGUCCAGACCCUGGAUGCCUAGCAGAGAGAGAACUGAUCCAGUGGCUCCGUGGAGGCACAUCAGCUGCGGCCCAAGACCCUCUGCCGAGACAUAGAACCCCAACAAAUCUCAUGCACACAUGGCCACUAUUUUCUGGGGUCCUUCUAGGACGUAGGACCUGGGUCCCUACUGUCCAAAAACAUGCAGAGCCUCUCAAUAAAUUUGGAGAAUCUCCUU